ensembl:lncRNA
CCACAGAACAGGUUCCAUGAUUUGUUUGCAGUGAAUUACUAUUUUAAGAGUAUUUAUUUAUUUGACUUACACACUUAUUUGAUUGUUUGUUUAUUUCUAUGUCAUGGAACCAGGGGUGUUUGACUUAGACCUUACUCUGACAACUCUUCUAUGCAAACAGCAUGUUUAGUGUGCAUUAUGGAAAUUAUGUUUGUAUCAUCUCUCAGUAUCUUGCACAGUGACAAAGCCUUUAAUCUCAUAUUAUUUGCAGUAGCUGUAGCAUAUAGGGUUUGCAGUGAGGCCAAUGAGACUGACUGGCAGACGUUCAUCGCUAUAUCAUAGUCUGUCACAGAGCUUGUACUGUAGGUAUGCACUGAAGAAUCACUCAAUAUUCUUAUUCCUGUCUUCUUCUACUUUUUUCUUUCAUCGCUUACUCUCUUUCUCCCAGAGAUGCCACUCUCUGACCUUGUUAUCUAUCUAUCUAUCUAUCUAUCUUUCCCUCAGUACUACUGGUUUAGUAUGUUAAUAUUAUCUUACCUCCUUGCAUGGUAAAGUUGCUAAUUCUUUUCCUAAGGAAAAGGUAUCCAACUGAAAUGUGUUAACAUUCCGAUGGACAAUGAGUGGAAUUCCUAAGGGCAUGAAGAGUUCCUCCCCAUUAUGAGCUGUAGGCUUCACGACCAGCAUCUCCCCAUGGACAAGAACUGAGCUCUAGAAAGAUUACAGAGCGGAGAAGUUAGUGGAGAGGGGACAUCGCUUCAUCCCCAAAUGAAAAAUCACAAGCAAUGUUCUGAGGCCAUGGUGCGCCAUCUAGCACAAUAACAAGUGAUAAAAGAAAUUACUUUUUCAUUAUAAUGCUUGUUUAUGGGAUGGGAUGUUUAUUAAUGAUUCAAAUACUCAAAUGAUUCUGGUAAAAAGGUAGGGAGGCUUUUUUUUUUUUAAACAAUUUUCCAAAGCAUUAAAUAUUAAACGCCGAUGUUAAAGCUCACUCAAACACUGUCACGAGAUGGAACUAUGAGAUGACGGUCAUUAGGUUCAGUUCUCGUGCCACGAUCUGUCUUUGUGAUUUUAAUCAUCAGAGACAUCCCAUAAUGAUCUUUCACUGCUCUGCUAAUUUGCUGCUAAACUUUCUGAUUGACUGGGGACUGGGUAACAAUUUAUUUGAGCACUCCAUCACAAGACUGUCGUAACUAUCUCAUAGAUAUGCCACGGUGGAUCCUAUAUCCUGUACUGAUAACCAUUUGCAGCAUCUGGUUUCUGUCAUAAGAUGUGGUAGGCCAAUGACACGGUUAUGUCAGUCUUAUGAAGGAAGGUUAAACUAAAGUGUUACCUAGGACUGUUAUGUCGAUCUAUCAUAUGCCAUGUCACCACCACCACCACACUGUACAUCAUUUUGUAUACACUUACAAUUCCCACCAUUAAAACAAACAGGAAUUAGUCUAUCAACUCUUUCCAAGACCAUAUGAAUCCUGGAGGCUUUGUGGUGCGUGUGUCAGUUGAGGUUUCUUUAUGAACCCUUGGGAUGACUCCCUAUCAGAAGAUUUGUAUGUAAAUAGUUAUUUUGACAAGGUUGAUGCUCAGUUUAAAGGAAAGUGUUUAAAAAAUCUGAUCUGUCCAAACAUCCAUUUUGAAGUCAUUGAGACAUAGCCCCCGACGGAGAUAAGAGACCAGACUAACAAGUCUGUUGGGGGAAGCUGUCAUCUUUGAUUCGGCCGGUCUUUAGGAAGUCUCUGAUCACACAUUAGCUAUUACGUGACUAGCAGUGAUUGUCGUCUCCGUAUGUCUCUUGCACUGUCAUGCCAGAUUCAAACACAAACACAAACACAAAGCUCUUGAUGAAAACAUUGGCAGGCCGCUGUUUUUGUUUUGUCCUCGACUUGAAUGCUCUUCUCACCAGAAGUGUACUGAAGCAAACAAGAGCGUUUUUAUAUAGCAAUCUCCAUCCCCCUUUUUGUCGCCAUGGAAACAAGUCACAAAUAGAACAGAGCUCAUUAACAUUGGUCUCGUGUAAAUAUACAUAAAAUCUAAAAAAAUGAUUAUAGUAUAUAUUUAUUUAUUUAUUUAUUGCACUUUAUGUCAUAUUGCCCUUUAACUCAGAAAUGUUCCAUUUCUCAAUCAUAUACUGAGAUUGCCUAAUUGUUCAAUUUUUGCAGUUAGCCAUAAUCAGACAAGAAGACAAAGGAAAAAAUGACAGGGAAUUGUUUCACAACCUACUUGCAAGCAACAAGUUCGUCACACUCACCUUCGCACCUCCAGGCAGGAAGAAAUUAACAGACAUCUGGCAGCAAAGACUUUGCCCCAUGUUUUAUUUCUUGGUAACUUUUUACAACAAGUAUCCAUUUUCUAACAUUACAUGAACAAACAUUUUUACUUCUGCACUAACAAAUCAUAAGUAGGUUUAUAUAAAAAUCAGUGUUUAUUACGCUAAGAAACAACAUGUAAUACAAAAGUUUCAUAAUUAACAACGAAUAAUAAAAAAAAGUUUUAAAUAAACAUUCGUCAACUUUUUCAUUACCUUGUGCCACUAGAUACUGAUAAUAUGCAAACCACAACAUAAUAUUAUCUACUAACACAAACUCCAUCGAGACUACAGUUACUGGGCACACACACAUCAUCCUCUCAGUUCAACAUUACCAAUCAAUCAAUAUUUUUUAAUGCAGAAGUGAAUGCUUUGUUUAAUGUCAGUUUAAUGCACUAACAAGUGUCAAUAAUUUAGUGUUAGUUAAAGGAUACCCAAUGUAAACCCAACCCUGACUCCUGAGUUGGGCCAGACUAGGUUCAGAUUAGAGAGUCAGAUUAGGACCACGUUCAGAUUCAGCAAUUAUACUGAGGAGCUCCUCAUUUAUCCCCACUGUAAACAUCCAGUAGCAUGACAAAGGUAUAGCACUAUCACUGCUGACGACAUAACCAGCAGGGUUAGGAUUGCGGGACCCUGCCAUCAAGGAGUGGAAUCGCAUUCUAUCUGUCUGUGUAAUGGUGAUGACAUGCCCUUCAUAGGGCCCAUGUGACGCUACGCUAUAAUGAAUUGGAAACUUCCAGUAGCUCUGCUUUCCUGUUAUCAUAUUAUCUAACCAGUAUGGUAUUGCAUUAUGGGAGAAAUGUUUACACAAAGCUCUCUCUCUCUCUGUCUCUGUGUCUCUCUCUCUGUCUCUCUCUCUCUCUUAUCUAUGAGUCAUACUACCUGGGGCAGAAUGGGGAGGCCUUAGAUCAGGUAUGGGAGCCACUGAGGACUUGCAUGAUGAACUAUAACUACAUGACGCAUACAAGAGGCCACCUUUACUGCUGCUGUUCUGAGGUUCUCAGCAUGUUGUAUGAAAAAAAGACUAUUAUGACGAUGA